ensembl:lncRNA
GUGAGCGGGAAUUGAUGAGACAUCAUUACGGAAUACAAAAUACGUACUGUGUUUUGAUUCAGAAAGUGUUAAUUUUUUCAGAUUUCUCUCAGGCUAACUUUAUAAAUUAUGAAAAACAAAACAAACCAAAGAAUAUCAGUUUCAUCAGCUUAAGCCAUGUUACAGGUAAUUAUUGUAAAGAAUUCAUCUUUGGAGGACAAAGCCUAAGUUUAGGUCUUUCUGUGCACUGCCAGGUAGCUGCAAUGGGGUCCACAGCAGACAGGCGUGAGGACGAGCAACUUGGGCUGCUCCACUCAAAACACACUCACACUGUAAGAUGGGCUUCCCAGGCAGCACUGAACAUGACUGUAGUUUCCUUGGAGGUAGCUGGGGAUGCUUCUGAGCCAGGGAUGGGGUAGAGUUAAUUCUGGUCAGGCAAGGUCCUCCAUGGCAUUAACCAAGGAAAUUGGAAUCUUGAGCAGUUGUCUAACAAAACACAGACCUUUCACCAUGGCAUAGCAAUACCACAAGAUGGCUUUUUGUUUGUCAAUAACCUGUAAGUUAGGGACUGGGUGUGUAGCUCAGUGGUAGAGCACUUGCUUAGCCCACUUGAGUUCUUCCUACAUUUGAUCCUCUGCACUGGAACAAAAAGUAAAUAAAAAAAACAUCAAUUAGACUCUAGUAACUUGAGAGUAGAAAGGAAAACUGGUAAAACAAAUCCAUGGGAAAGAAAAGAGAACCCUUGUGCACAUGUGCAUGCAUGCAAAUACAUGCGCACACAUGUCUCUGACCAUAUCUCUCAACCACACACAGUACACAUAUGCAAAUGAAUGGUUUGAAGGCAAAGGAGAGUGGAUCAAAUAUGGAGCUCAAAAUGACUUUUCGGAACUUCAGUCAAGACUACCACCUUCUUUCUUUCAGAGAUUUAAAACGUGCAGUGAAGCGAGUCCUGCAAGCUCUGAGCAGCCAGCAGAGACCCAUUUGUAUUUGGCCAAGUGAGCAUCAGGAGGAAGAAACAUGGUCUUCUUUGGAAAGGCUAUCUUCUAGAAAUCUCAAGUGCUCCAAAAUUAGCCUGGCACAUUGGCAGAACUUCCUGCCUAUUCUGGAGGCUGGACUGGAGUCAGUGCAGUCUUUCCCAUUCCCUAGAUCUGGACGGGGACACUGGGCGGAGACAGUAGGGGUAGCUUCUUAAUGUUCUGGGGCAUUGAGUCAUGUACUUGGUAGGAGGAGCCCCUGCUGGGAUCCUGGUGUCUUUUACAAACAGGCUAUAAAACUACAUUUGAGCUCAUAAUGGCUAGGAACUAAAUGCAAUCAUUUCCUAUGGGGUUGCUAUUGUGGCUGUAUGCAAGGUCCCUUAUGUCGCUGGCAGCACUCAAACCAAGGCAGGAAUACUCUCUUCUUUCAGGUGCUGUGAAAGGAAAGAAAGCAAAGAGCCAUCACUCAGAAGAAUCUUCCCAAAUUCUUUUCUUGUCUAGUGGAACGGAACCAGGAGUGUAGACCAAUGAACCACCUGUGCUGUCUGCCAGGUCUGUGACAUUGCCGUCUGCCUCCAGUGGGGGCGCAGUGAGACUCCUCCCCUGUGGAGACUUGUUGCUUCUCUGCCUCCUAUCAGGGUGCCAGCUGAGGAGAGAGACAACCUGUGGAGAGUCCCGUGGACGUUUUCAUGUCUUCAGAACUAUUACUUGGUUUUAGUAUUUUUCGUUUUCCUUCUGUAAUUUCCUUCUGUCUGCCCAAAAGCCUCCAUCAGAUUUUGCUGAUCUCUCAGUCUGGUCCUAGCUGUGUGAUGAGAAGCUGGGAGAGGCGUCAUCUGCACCUCCAACAGAGGUGAAGCGGCUGGGGAGGAAUGAUAAGAGGCAGCCUGCAGCAGAGAGAUGUCAGGAACAGAACGGCUGGCUGAGGGGGACAAGUCCCUGCGGGUGGGCGGGAAGAGACUUGUGGAGAUGCUGGUAUUCACCCUGAAUGUGAAUGGAGAUUUUGGAAGAGAAAGCUGGACAGCACCCGGAUCUUCUGAAGUGACCCAGUGUACCAGUUGUCAACACAUUGUCUCUCAGCCUCAAUGUCACCCUAUACCUUCUUUGUAAAAGUGGAGCUGGGCCCCUUUAAUAACUGCUAUUGUCUGCAGGUUGGGUAGUUAGCAGGCAGAGGUCUAGAGACACCCAGGAGGACCAGUUUUCCUAGUGGCUGCUGGGCUCUUGGGCUAGGCAGGCUUCUGCAGGUGGGUAGCUUCACCAGGAGCACUUAGCCUGCAGUACCACCCUUGAGGGCUUUGGUAGUGAAGUGCUUUCAGAGGGGUAUCUUCAUGCGAACAGCUCCCUCUACACCCUAAAAAAGUAGAUGUCCAGCAAGUCCUAAAGUGGGAAUGUCCAGCUUUUUCUUUAUGGCAUGAACCAUAAAGACACCUCCGCUAUUUAGAUGGCUUGCCCACCCAAAGGGGAUCUGGACUCAGCCCCAUUGGAAGGGGAAGGGAAAGCUCACCCUGGCGUGCUUUGUCUCAACCCUAGGAAUGUGGCUCCUUAAAUCUUCUGUUUGCUAUUCCUAUUUUCUUUCGAUUUCUCUUCUUACCUAGCCUAUCCCUUCUUACUCCAAAUCCUAUUACAGUUG